UACGUAGGGUCCGAGCGUUGUCCGGAAUUACUGGGCGUAAAGAGCUCGUAGGUGGUUUGUCGCGUUGUUCGUGAAAACUCACAGCUCAACUGUGGGCGUGCGGCGAUACGGGCAGACUAGAGUACUGCAGGGGAGACUGGAAUUCUGGUGUAGCGGUGGAAUGCGCAGAUAUCAGGAGGAACACCGGUGGCGAAGGCGGGUCUCUGGGCCGAUAUUGACGCUGAGGAGCGAAAGCGUGGGGAGCGAACAGG
rnacentral:rRNA from 1 species